rnacentral:rRNA from 1 species
AUGUGGGGCGCGAGUACUAGGGGAGUGGCAUCAAGGCGUGGAUGCGGGCCGCCAGGGCGCGGCGUGGACGCCGCGCGGGAAGGAACGCCGGCCGCGGAAACGGCCGUGGCGGCGACAAGAGCAAGUACUCCUGAAAGCGAAGCGAGGGCGACGGCGACCGCACCAUCUCUGCCUCAUCCAACCUUGCCUCUGCUUCGGACGAUACCUCUGGCUGGGAUGUGGCGGCGGCGCCAAGGUGCCAUGAUCCCCAGGAUGGAGGUUUCUGGGUGGAGAAGAAGCGCUCGGCGAUGGCAUCGGAGGACUCAGGGAGCGGGCACCAGACUUCAUCCCCGAUCCGCCGCCCACAUGGCAAACAGAAUAUCCCUCAGGUGCCUAUCCUAUCCCCUACCCCAUAUGCAAGUCGAAUGA